AACGAAGAUGAAUGAAGACCCGCUGAAAACUGGAGACCUCAGUCUGACCAUGAAAUACCCCACAGAUGGAGAGAAUUACACCUGCACCGUCUACAGCAGGGAGGGAAACAUCCUGCUGAAGAAAACGGUGGAAUUGAAAGUCAGAGUCUGUCAGGUGGAGGUGGAGAAGGGGGCGGAGUCUGUCCAGCUGACUUUCAAAACCACUGAAAACCUGCCUGAGGAUGCUAAAGUGCUAUGGUUUCACAGUGAUGAAAGGACAGUCCACGUGUACAAGAACGGCUCUGACCAGCCUGAAGAACAGCACCAGGUUUACAGAGACCGAACGAAGAUGAAUGAAGACCUGCUGAAAACUGGAGACCUCAGUCUGACCCUGAAAUACCCCACAGAUGGAGACAGUGGAGUGUAUGAAUGUGUAGUUGACAGCAGGAAUGUCUGGAUAAGAUAUAAAUCACUAAUGCUGACAGUCAAAGGGAGAGUUCAGGCCCAGGAUCAAACAGGGGACAUCAGGAACAGAAGCAGCUCCAUUGAUCCGACUCCUCUGAUGGCUGAUCAAUCAGUUUGAUCUGUGUGUUCUUGGGGGGGGGUUGUGUUAUUCUUGUGUGUCUGUGUCUGUGGCAAGAUCUGAAAACUGCUGUUCACAAACGCUGUCCAUCUAAUCUGACUGAGCUGGAGCUGUUUUGCAAAGAAGAAUGGGCAAGGAUUUCAGUCUGUAGAUGUGCAAAGCUGGUAGAGACAUACCCUAAAAGACUGGCAGCUGUAAUUGCAGCAAAAGGUGGUUCUAUAAAGUAUUGACUCAGGGGGCUGAAUAAUUACGCACACCCCACUUUUCAGUUAUUUAUUUGUAAAAAAUGUUUGGAAUCAUGUAUGAUUUUUGUUCCACUUCUCACGUGUACACCACUUUGUAUUGGUCUUUCACGUGGAAUUCCAAUAAAAUUGAUUCAUGUUUGUGGCUGUAAUGUGACAAAAUGUGGGAAAGUUCAAGGGGGCCGAAUACUUUUGCAAGCCACUGUAGCUGCCAUUCUGAUUCAUUUACAUGUUGAAAGGGAGUGGGAAGAAGUAAACACUUAUUUAAUCCCACCCCUUUGCCAUAAAUUAUCAGUUAAUAUUUAGUCAGCUUCCUUACUGAUAUAAUUUGUAAUAAAAACAGUGGACAGAUUUCUGAUAUACUAUAUACUAUAAUAUCACAUCAAGAAUUUUUUAUAUAUAUAUUUUUAAAUAGAGACAUUCACUUAAUUUCAAUAUUUUCCUUUUCUUUAUAGUUCGAGAAGAUCAUAUUUUUAUAAUUCUUUUUGAACUGUUUUAUGUUUGGACAUUGCUUUAAUUCCAUAUUCAGACUGUUCCAUAGUUUCACUCCAUGAACAGAAACACUAAAGCUUUUUCUUGUAGUACGGACCUUCCCUGUUUUGAAGUUACAAAAAACCCUUAAAUUAUAACUUUAAAAAAAAACAUACUCUGUAUAUUACCUGGCAGUUCUUUAUUUUUUGCUUUGAAUAGAAUUUGUGCUAUUUGGAAUUUCACUAGAUCGUCAAUUUUCAAUAUUUCAGACUGCAAAAAUAGUUUGUAUGUUCCCUAUAGCCUGCAUUGUGGAUGAUUCGAAUUGCUUUUUUUCUUUUUGAAGAGUAAAAAGUGAAUGUAAUGUGGUUUUAUAGUUAUUGCCCCAGACCUCUGCACAAUAGCUUAAGUAUGGUGAAACCAGUGAACAGUAGCGAAUAUGAAGUGAUGUUCUGUCGAAUACCUGUUUUGCCUUGUUUAGUACUGCAAUGCUACGUGAUACUUUGGAAUGAAUAUAUCUUACGUGAGCUCUCCAGUUAAGUUUUUCAUCUAUUAUUACCCCCAGAAAUUUAUUUUCACUGACUCUUUCAAUAUCAACACCAUUUAUUUGAAUCUUUGCAUUUGUAUUUAAACUACUAUUUCCAAAUAACGUAAGCUUAGAUUUAUUCAAAUUUAAUGAUAAUUUGUUUUUAUCAAGCCAGAACUUCACUUUACUUAUUUCAUUAGUCAUAUCCUCCAAUAAAUUCUGCAGAUCAUCACCAGAGCAAAAAUGUUUGUAUCAUCAGCAAAGAGAACCCUUUUUAAUACUUUGGACACUUUACAGAUGUCGUUAAUGUACAAUUUUGUGGUACAAUGUUGAAAAAGGAAAGAAAUGUUUGUGACCUGAAACUGUUCAUAUACUUCUGUAUAUAUAAACAGAAAUAGAGAUCAUCAAUAUACUGUUUGUAAUACUGCUUAAAUGUACACAAGCUUACUGUAGACAUUAAUAUAGAGCAGAGGUAUCAAACUCCAGUCCUCGAGGGCAGGUGUCUUAAAACUUUUCCAUGUGUCCCUGUUGCACACCUGAAUACGAUUAGUCGGUCAUUGGCAAGACUAUAGAACUUGACUGCAUGCUGAGGUGGCAGUUCAGCCAUUUGAUUCAUGUGGCAGCAGCUCAUGAGUGAAUGAACAUAGGGCAAAAAAACUCUAAUCUCUGAAGCCACUGCUGCUUUCACACACAUUUAACUAAACCUGUAACUUCACUCUUCCACCAGCAGAGGGCUCUAGUUUUCCGCUCACAGCACUGAACAGCCUGUAAAUAAAGGAUGGAAGCAGCAGUCUCCGCUUCAGGCUGUUAGGCAGCAUCUGUAUGUGGAGUUAUCAGCAAGCAGCACAAAGCAGAGCUUCAGUCAGAUGUCUCCGUGCUUCAGUCUGUGGCUGGUGUCCUCACCAAGUGUUGUUCCUUUUGUUUGAGGUGGAUGAAGCUCCUGAGAUGGAGCUGUGAAGGAGCACAAACAUCUCCAGACUGUUUCUCACACAAAUGAAGUGCAGAUGUGUUUCUGAUGUUCACUUUAUUCACUUCAAACCAUUUCUUUCAGUUUUUUUCCACUGCAUUCAAAAGUCAUCCCAGACUUUCACUACAGCAAUUUAAAGCAGUGCCAUCAGCAAAUAAGGUGAAUGUUAACCAUUCAGACACAUUGUGCAUCAUUUGUGUACAACACAAACAAAUUAGGGACCAGCUCUGUACAUACUGAUGUAAUUCCAUUUAAUAUUGUAUCUCUCAAGCUUUUCCCUCAGUAAUCUGGGCUCUAUUUUACCAAAUCAAAGAACAGAGCAACCUGCCUGCUUUAAAUUCACACUUGUGACAACUCAAUAAAAUUUAGUUUCC
ensembl:lncRNA